GACAUUUUAGCGAAAAAAAGUUUUUGUAAAAAAUAUCAAUUUUCUGCCUUUUUCGGGUUUUGGCAGAACUGAUGAGGUUUUAGUACGUCUUCCACAACUACAGGACCAGUAUUGUGCUAUUGAAGCAAGACAAUGUUUAAUUUUUUGGAGGUUUUGUCGGGACUCCUGAUUAGGUUUUGAGACAUCUCCUACAACUCCAGGACUCGUAUUGUGCUGCUGAAGCAAGACCGUUUUUAAUUUUUUUGAGGUUUUGUCGGGACUCCUGAUGAGGUUUUGAGACAUCUCCUACAACUCCAGGACUCGUAUUGUGCUGCUGAAGCAAGACCGUUUUUAAUAUUUUUGAGGUUUUGUCGGGACUCCUGAUGAGGUUUUGAGACAUCUCCUACAACUCCAGGACUCGUAUUGUGCUGCUGAAGCAAGACCGUUUUUAAUUUUUUUGAGGUUUUGUCGGGACUCCUGAUUAGGUUUUGAGACAUCUCCUACAACUCCAGGACUCGUAUUGUGCUGCUGAAGCAAGACCGUUUUAAAUUUUUUUGAGGAAAUGUUUGUACUUCAAUGGAGGGCGAGGAAUGGGGGGAUACAGAACCUCUGCCAGCCUAAGCAAAAGCAACAUUUCAGAAAUGAACGACUGCAUCUUCUCACCGUCUUCGACCCGUGCACGACUUUGUGCGAGAAACGGCGACGGCGGACGAUGCGUGUGCAUGCACGAGCCAGUCUGCCCCACAACGACAGGAUAGAGGGACAAUAAGGUACGUGGUGAAAGCGGCGGACUCGCGCAAAGCUCUCCGGGUAAACCUUUACCGUAUAUGGAGAUAUCCGCUGAUUUA